UAGGGAAUCUUCCACAAUGGGCGAAAGCCUGAUGGAGCAACGCCGCGUGUGUGAUGAAGGGUUUCGGCUCGUAAAACACUGUUGUAAGAGAAGAAUGACAUUGAGAGUAACUGUUCAAUGUGUGACGGUAUCUUACCAGAAAGGAACGGCUAAAUACGUGACA
rnacentral:rRNA from 1 species